UUGGAAAACCUCAAAUAAGUAUUAUCCUUUUAUUAUUAUGAUAGAUUAUUUCUAUUGUCAUUAGCAGUAUUAUUAUUGAAUUCUUUUUUAAAUCUAAGAAAUAAAAUAUAAGUUAAAGAGAAGUGUUGUUUGAUAUCUAAACUAAUUUUAAGUAAAAUAUAAGGAGGAAAAAAGGGAAGAUAAAAAAUUGACUCCCUUUUUUUUCUCUCUCUCAGCGUAAGAGCUGCUAUCGUACGUC
rnacentral:lncRNA from 1 species